UUCAGACGACGGAUUUCCAAACGCAUGGCUCUUCCCUCUUUCGAACGGGCGAUCUUCAUCGCCAGAGCUCUUCCCUCUUCCGAACGGCGCAAUCUUCCUCGCCAGAGGUCUGAAUCCUUGAAGAAUUUCCUCGUGCCAUGCAGAUUCAUCUCAACUAGAUUCUUUUCAAGUAUCCUCCCAGGAAAGAGCUUUGCCGCAAAUGACAUGUUUGGUUUCGAUCUGUUCAGACCAGGCAAAGCUGGAUUGAGGAAAUCAAUCAACAGCAAGCAGAAGCACUAGAUGCCCAACUGACGGUUGAGCAGCUUCAACAACGAUAUCAGUUGCUCACGGUCCAAAAUGAGAUGUUGAAGUUGGUUGCAGUAUGCUGAGCGGAUUCCUAUUGGGUUGGAAAAGGUGAUUCGAACCGUUUCUUCUGAAACGGUCAAACAAUAUGGUUGUGGUAGCUGUUGGAGAUUUUACUGAUACACAUGUUUGAAUUGGUCAGAUUCAGAUUUCCCUCUUAAAAUGAUAAAUAUUUUUUUCAGCCUGCCACCACUAAUGGUAAGCAACAAGAUUCUCUGCUAGAACUUUCCCUUUACAUUUGGUUUGUCAUGUUGAGUUGUGCUUCCAUUCUAUGGAUUUCUCCUCAUGGUGUUCAUUUCCUCAUGCUUGCAGAUAGGAUCCACAGCAAAAUGGGUGAAGGUUAGUUUCUGCAACCAACAUAAUCUGAAAACCUCCCCUUGUCUACUUGCAUGGUACUUUCAGCAGUGUGUGCCUUUAGAAGCACAGCUUGUAACCAGUUUGGCUGCCUGAUUGGUAGUUCCAAAUGCAAGAUCAUGCAUCUGGAGAAUGCUGUACCCCUGAGUAUGUUUACAGUGAAUCCAAUUGAGUCCUUGAGUUUCUUUUCCUCAGCAAAUUAGUGUAUGAAAGCAGUCCUAUUAAUGUAUAUAUGUAUUGAUAUAUUUG